GACAGAGGUGGCAAGCGUUGUUCGGAUUCAUUGGGUGUAAAGGGCAGGUAGGUGGCUAUGUAAGUCUGGUGUGAAAUCCCACGGCUCAACCGUGGAACUGCAUUGGAAACUACAUGGCUUGAGUACUGGAGAGGUGAGGGGAAUUCUCGGUGUAAGGGUGAAAUCUGUAGAUAUCGAGAGGAACACCAGUGGCGAAGGCGCCUCACUGGCCGGUUACUGACACUGAGCUGCGAAAGCAAGGGGAGCAAACAGG
rnacentral:rRNA from 1 species